rfam:Brachypodium distachyon strain Bd21 chromosome 3, whole genome shotgun sequence.
CAUCUACUCCCUCCGUCCCAUAUUAAGUGACUUUCUAUUACAUGUCUCUAGACGUUUUUUGGGUAUAGAUACAUUCAUAUUUGGACAAAUUUGGUCACUUAAUAUGGGACGGAGGGAGUACGUC